AGCGAACGUUAGCGGCGGGCCUAACACAUGCAAGUCGAACGCGAAAGGUCUUCGGACUGAGUAGAGUGGCGCACGGGUGAGUAACACGUAGGUAAUCUACCCUUUGGCGGGGGAUAACGUUCCGAAAGGAGCGCUAAUACCGCAUAAGACCACGGAGUCUCCGGACGCUGUGGGAAAAGGUGGCCUCUUCUUGAAAGCUACCACCGAAGGAUGAGCCUGCGUCCCAUCAGCUAGUUGGUAAGGUAAUGGCUUACCAAGGCGAAGACGGGUAGCUGGUUUGAGAGAAUGAUCAGCCACACUGGCACUGGAACACGGGCCAGACUCCUACGGGAGGCAGCAGUGAGGAAUAUUGGGCAAUGGGCGAAAGCCUGACCCAGCACGCCGCGUGAGUGAUGAAGGCCCUCGGGUCGUAAAGCUCUGUGGAGAGGGACGAAAAACCCUGGUUUCAAAUAGGCUCCAGGCUUGACGGUACCUCUUUAGCAAGCACCGGCUAACUCUGUGCCAGCAGCCGACGG
rnacentral:rRNA from 1 species